GAGUAUCAAUUGGAGGGCAAGUCUGGUGCCAGCAGCCGCGGUAAUUCCAGCUCCAAUAGCGUAUAUUAAAAUUGUUGCAGUUAAAAAGCUCGUAGUUGAAUUUCUGCUGCAUUGCUUUUGCUCCUUUACGAGUCUUUGCAUUGUGGCUUAUUUCGGACUUUGUUUUACAAUGUCCGGAUGUUUACUUUGAGAAAAUUAGAGUGCUCAAAGCAGGCUUUCGCCUUGAAUAGUUUAGCAUGGAAUAAUAAAGUAGGACUUUGGUUCUAUUUUGUUGGUUUUAGGUACCAAAGUAAUGGUUAAUAGGAACAGUUGGGGGCAUUCGUAUUUAACUGUCAGAGGUGAAAUUCUUAGAUUUGUUAAAGACGAACUACUGCGAAAGCAUUUGCCAAGGAUGUUUUCAUUAAUCAAGAACGAAAGUUAGGGGAUCGAAGACGAUCAGAUACCGUCGUAGUCCUAACCAUAAAC
rnacentral:rRNA from 1 species